rnacentral:rRNA from 1 species
CGGGACACGUGGUAUCCUGUCUGAAUAUGGGGGGACCAUCCUCCAAGGCUAAAUACUCCUGACUGACCGAUAGUGAACCAGUACCGUGAGGGAAAGGCGAAAAGAACCCCGGCGAGGGGAGUGAAAAAGAACCUGAAACCGUGUACGUACAAGCAGUGGGAGCACGCUUAGGCGUGUGACUGCGUACCUUUUGUAUAAUGGGUCAGCGACUUAUAUUCUGUAGCAAGGUUAACCGAAUAGGGGAGCCGAAGGGAAACCGAGUCUUAACUGGGCGUUAAGUUGCAGGGUAUAGACCCGAAACCCGGUGAUCUAGCCAUGGGCAGGUUGAAGGUUGGGUAACACUAACUGGAGGACCGAACCGACUAAUGUUGAAAAAUUAGCGGAUGACUUGUGGCUGGGGGUGAAAGGCCAAUCAAACCGGGAGAUAGCUGGUUCUCCCCGAAAGCUAUUUAGGUAGCGCCUCGUGAAUUCAUCUCCGGGGGUAGAGCACUGUUUCGGCAAGGGGGUCAUCCCGACUUACCAACCCGAUGCAAACUGCGAAUACCGGAGAAUGUUAUCACGGGAGACACACGGCGGGUGCUAACGUCCGUCGUGAAGAGGGAAACAACCCAGACCGCCAGCUAAGGUCCCAAAGUCAUGGUUAAGUGGGAAACGAUGUGGGAAGGCCCAGACAGCCAGGAUGUUGGCUUAGAAGCAGCCAUCAUUUAAAGAAAGCGUAAUAGCUCACUGGUCGAGUCGGCCUGCGCGGAAGAUGUAACGGGGCUAAACCAUGCACCGAAGCUGCGGCAGCGACGCUGAUGCGUUGUUGGGUAGGGGAGCGUUCUGUAAGCCUGCGAAGGUGUGCUGUGAGGCAUGCUGGAGGUAUCAGAAGUGCGAAUGCUGACAUAAGUAACGAUAAAGCGGGUGAAAAGCCCGCUCGCCGGAAGACCAAGGGUUCCUGUCCAACGUUAAUCGGGGCA